rnacentral:rRNA from 1 species
UACGUAGGGUGCAAGCGUUGUCCGGAAUUAUUGGGCGUAAAGAGCUUGUAGGCGGUUUGUCGCGUCUGCUGUGAAAUUUCGGGGCUCAACCCCGAACUUGCAGUGGGUACGGGCAGACUAGAGUGUGGUAGGGGAGACUGGAAUUCCUGGUGUAGCGGUGAAAUGCGCAGAUAUCAGGAGGAACACCGAUGGCGAAGGCAGGUCUCUGGGCCAUAACUGACGCUGAGGCGCGAAAGCUAGGGGAGCAAACAGG